rnacentral:rRNA from 1 species
GAUGAACGCUGGCGGCGUGCCUAAUACAUGCAAGUCGAGCGAACGGACGAGAAGCUUGCUUCUCUGAUGUUAGCGGCGGACGGGUGAGUAACACGUGGAUAACCUACCUAUAAGACUGGGAUAACUUCGGGAAACCGGAGCUAAUACCGGAUAAUAUUUUGAACCGCAUGGUUCAAAAGUGAAAGACGGUCUUGCUGUCACUUAUAGAUGGAUCCGCGCUGCAUUAGUUAGUUGGUAAGGUAACGGCUUACCAAGGCAACGAUGCAUAGCCGACCUGAGAGGGUGAUCGGCCACACUGGAACUGAGACACGGUCCAGACUCCUACGGGAGGCAGCAGUAGGGAAUCUUCCGCAAUGGGCGAAAGCCUGACGGAGCAACGCCGCGUGAGUGAUGAAGGUCUUCGGAUCGUAAAACUCUGUUAUUAGGGAAGAACAUAUGUGUAAGUAACUGUGCACAUCUUGACGGUACCUAAUCAGAAAGCCACGGCUAACUACGUGCCAGCAGCCGCGGUAAUACGUAGGUGGCAAGCGUUAUCCGGAAUUAUUGGGCGUAAAGCGCGCGUAGGCGGUUUUUUAAGUCUGAUGUGAAAGCCCACGGCUCAACCGUGGAGGGUCAUUGGAAACUGGAAAACUUGAGUGCAGAAGAGGAAAGUGGAAUUCCAUGUGUAGCGGUGAAAUGCGCAGAGAUAUGGAGGAACACCAGUGGCGAAGGCGACUUUCUGGUCUGUAACUGACGCUGAUGUGCGAAAGCGUGGGGAUCAAACAGGAUUAGAUACCCUGGUAGUCCACGCCGUAAACGAUGAGUGCUAAGUGUUAGGGGGUUUCCGCCCCUUAGUGCUGCAGCUAACGCAUUAAGCACUCCGCCUGGGGAGUACGACCGCAAGGUUGAAACUCAAAGGAAUUGACGGGGACCCGCACAAGCGGUGGAGCAUGUGGUUUAAUUCGAAGCAACGCGAAGAACCUUACCAAAUCUUGACAUCCUUUGACAACUCUAGAGAUAGAGCCUUCCCCUUCGGGGGACAAAGUGACAGGUGGUGCAUGGUUGUCGUCAGCUCGUGUCGUGAGAUGUUGGGUUAAGUCCCGCAACGAGCGCAACCCUUAAGCUUAGUUGCCAUCAUUAAGUUGGGCACUCUAAGUUGACUGCCGGUGACAAACCGGAGGAAGGUGGGGAUGACGUCAAAUCAUCAUGCCCCUUAUGAUUUGGGCUACACACGUGCUACAAUGGACAAUACAAAGGGCAGCGAAACCGCGAGGUCAAGCAAAUCCCAUAAAGUUGUUCUCAGUUCGGAUUGUAGUCUGCAACUCGACUACAUGAAGCUGGAAUCGCUAGUAAUCGUAGAUCAGCAUGCUACGGUGAAUACGUUCCCGGGUCU